rnacentral:rRNA from 1 species
GACGAACGCUGGCGGCGUGCUUAACACAUGCAAGUCGAACGAAGUGGCGAACGGGUGAGUAACGCGUAAUCACCCUGCCCUUCAGAGGGGGACAACCGUUGGAAACGACUGCUAAUACCGCAUACUGAUGGAGGGGAUUGCGUCUGAUUAGCUAGUUGGAGGGGUAACGGCCCAUAAAGGCGAUGAUCAGUAGGCGGUCUGGGAGGGUGAACGGCAACAUGGGGAGUGGGACAGGGCCCAGACUCAUACGGGAAGCAGCAGUGGGGAAUCUUCCGAAAUGGAAGAAAGUCUGACGGAGCAACGCCGCGUGAGUGAUGACGGCCUGCGGGUUGUAAAGCUCUGUUAAUCGGGACGCGGUACCGGAAUAGAAAGCCACGGCUAACUACGUGCCAGCAGCCGCGGUAAUAC